GGGUAAAAAUAAGGAGGGUCCAGGCCUGCCCAGUGACAAAUGUUCAACGGCCGCGGUAUCCUAACCGUGCGAAGGUAGCGUAAUCACUUGUUCUUUAAAUGAGGACUAGUAUGAAUGGCACCACGAGGGUUGCACUGUCUCCUUUCCCUAAUCAAUGAAACUAAUCUCCCCGUGAAGAAGCGGGGGUACUAAUAUAAGACGAGAAGACCCUAUGGAGCUUUAAAUUUCUCUUCAAACGCCAGACACAAACAUCUGACACUUUACAUUAACCCGACGCCUUGAAGAUGAAUUUUAGGUUGGGGUGACCAUGGAGAACAAAAUAACCUCCACGCUGAAAAGGCCUCCAAGCCUUGAGCCGAGGGCUACAACCCAACGCACUAAAAAAUUAACACCCAUUGACCCAAUAUUUUUGAUCAACGAACCAAGUUACCCUAGGGAUAACAGCGCAAUCUACUUCAAGAGUCCCUAUCGACAAGUGGGUUUACGACCUCGAUGUUGGAUCAGGGUAUCCCAGUGGUGCAGCCGCUACUAAAGGUUCGUUUGUUCAACGAUUAAAACCCUACGUGAUCUGAUUCCAGACCAGA
rnacentral:rRNA from 1 species